CAAGAGAAAGAGCAGAAAGAGGUAAUUUAGUUAAUUAUACUAUCAGUUAAUGUGAUGCCUGCCAAUGUUCUAAUGUUGUAUAAUGCUAUGUUUCUUUAUGGGUGAACUUGAAUGAAUGUCAACUUAUUUGCAAAUUGAAAUGGGAUUUAGUAUGCUACCAAAAUAACUAAAUAUAUAAAUAGGGGCCUGGUUAAUUAUCCACUAUAUUUUAGAGGAUGAAUAUCCACUUUCUUCCCUCAAGAUUUUUCAGCUUUCCUUCUCUGCCUUUUUGUGGCUUUAUUCCCUCAGGGCUGAAACUGGUGGACAAGGAUGUACGUAGUUGAGCAUAUGAAUUAUUCUGAAGAUAGGAGCAUGUGAGUUAAUCAGUUAAAGAACUAUGUACAUAAGAUGUCUUCUUUUUGUUUUACCAAAAGGUAACUGGUCAGGUAUUGUGUUGUCAAGGCCAUAUUCUGUCAAUAUAUUAUUGGUGGCUUUUCAUUGAACAUGAAAACGUUCAUAUAGGAUGUUUUAGAAGUAAUAGUUCGUUUGCUUUUUGAAGGUUUAAGUUGCUUGCACUCUAUCUGUUGAAUCCUCUUUAGCUCUAAAAGGGACACUUUGUCCUUGAUUGUUUCUAUUAAUCUUUAGUGAAUUUGAAUUAAUUGAUAGAGUGAUACAGUGCUAUCAAAAGGAAAUAGAUUGGGUAGUUUUGAUGUUAUAUAUAGACAUUAAGCUUGAACUUCUGUUUUGUGAUAAAGAAAUCCCAACGACUAGUAGCAAUUUUGGAGCACUUUCAGCUUUUCUGUUAUUCAAGGACAACAUUGUAUUGAUAAUUUUCCUUGUGAGAUUAAGAAGUUAUUCCAGAAACUAAUAGUUACAAACAGCAUUCUCAAAUUUUGAUUGAUCUGGUCUUCUUUACUAGUAUUCUUUUCUUUUUCCUCAUAUGAAUGAAAUACUGUUAUUGCAUAGAAAUCUUAUAUAAUUUCCUAUCAUUUUUUCUUUUCUGUUUUCUGAAUUUCAUUUGGAUUUUUGGUGAAAUGAUUCAGUUAUUCAAAAUUAGUAUGAUUUACUCAACUGAAAAAUGGUGUCUAGAGCUUGGAAUCUAAGCAAUGUUUCAAAUGUUUGAAAGGAGUUUAAUCCUUUCUAUUAAGAUAUUUGCAUAAUUGCAAAAAGAUUCGUGAAUUUUCAUAUCAAUCCUAUGCUUUCAAUUUUAUCAUUUGAUCAUUUGUAAUUUCAAUAUUAUAUCUAUUUUAUCCUGCUCUCAUUCUUCGGUCAUAUUGGAUAAAAAAUUAUUAAGUUGGCAUUAGGUAAAUGUUAAGGAAAAAUAAACUAUAUCUAGGAUUUCUUCCAAUAGUGGAUGAAACUAGUGAAAGAGUUAAUCAAACGUUGGAGCUGUGGAGAAAGACUCUUGAGAGCAAGGGUUUUACGCUAAGUAGAAGUAAGACAGAAUAUAUGCAUUGAGAAUUUAGCUCUUGUGGAAGGAAUGGAGGGGAGGAUCGAUUGGAUGGAAUUUUGGUACCAAAAUGCAACCAAUUGAAGUACUUCUAUAGAAUUGUGAUCAUGCCAGCUUUGUUCUUUGGGAGUGAAUGUUGGGCAUCUAA
rnacentral:misc_RNA from 1 species